UGGACUAGGACAAGGGGCAGAGGCAGAGAGAGAGAGAGGACCCACCCGGAGAAGGAAGAGACCAGGUGGGAUCUGAGACAGGGAGACCCUUUCUACAUCGGUGCCUUGACGUGUGGCUCUUUUGCCACGUUCUGCCCUAGGAUCACCCCCAGAUGAACUGCUAUCUUUCGAAUAACCUUGUUUUUCCUCGGGUCUUCCAAACCAAUCAUCUCUCCCUUCUGACACAAGAGGACUUUACCUGGAAGACCACCGCACACCUUCUAGUAACAUUGGGACCCUGGGUUCAGGUAUCAUGGCCUUACAUGAUAUUCAUCUGAAGCAGGAUGAGACAGAGCAGGCCGAAAAGAAAACGCUUCUCACAGUGUUCUCUUAUGAAGAAUCCACUUUUCCCAGAAAACCUCCCAUCUGACUCAUAGGUACAAAUUGGCCGGAAGACUCAUUCCAAGACCAAGCACAGGUACAAGGGCCAAAAUUGGCUUAGAACAGGCAUGACUCACCUUUUCAGCUUCUCAGUUAUCUACUCUCAAGAGCACAGGUCUGAUGGUUGGUUUGUGAAUCAAAUUGCAGAGCUGUUAUUAUGGAAGAAGGUGAUACGACCCUUUCCAUAGAGGAGAGUCAUAAACUGGCAUACCUCACCACAACCACCUUCAGGUAAUUGGUUAAGAAAUAAAAGCUCUACUAGUAAGAA